CAAUCCAAAGAAAACCAGCAUAGUUUGUGUCAUAAUCAGAAAAAAGGAAACAAAUAUGAUACUACAAGGGAUAUUAUUGAACUUAAAAAGUUGAGAGACCUUGUACAACGCAGAUUGUUUUACAUCCAGAAUCCGAAGAACUGUAAAGCAGCGAAAAAGAUAAUUUGUGAACCCAAUAAAGCCGGUUUUGGAAGUACAAUACACCAGCUGACAUUUUGUUUGAUUGCGGCAUAUGCUACUGAAAGAACACUCAUAAUCAGGUCAAAAGGGUGGAUUUAUGCAAGAAAGGGUUGGGAAACUGCAUUCCUUCCAGUCAGCAGUAAUUGCACAUCUGUAUUGAACAAUACAGUAACAAAAACUAAAACAUUAAGGAAUGUAUUUGACAAACAGGCAAUUUCCUUACCCGGAAUGGCAGGUUUCGAAAUGCCGGACUACAUGCCCUUCGCAAUUCCAGCAGACUUAGCUGACAGACUAGAAGCAGUUCAUAUUAACCCGGAAGUAUGGUGGAUCGGACAGUUUGUGGAGUAUCUGAUUAGACCGAAUAACGAUUUAAAGUUGCAUUUACGCGAACAACAGAACAAGCUAGUUUUUAGACGGCCUUUAAUAGGGUUUGUUUAUUUGGUUUAAACCGUAACACAUUCAUGCUUCUAGGUUUUAAUUAAUGAAUGCAAAUGCAAAGGAAUGUCACACUCAAAUAUAUAACAUGAUACUGAUAUUGUUUUCUUUGAAAACAAUCAUAUCGGUAGGAUAUGACAAAAAAAGCAAGCGAAAAUAUUAUAAUGUUUGUUACACUGCCUGUCCAUCUGUCGACCGUUUGAUGUCAUCAGGUAUUGCUUAAUCGUUAUUUCAUUUGUAUCUCGGCAUUUAUUUCUUGCAAUUGAUUGAGAAAUGAUAAUGUAAUUGUUUUGCCACUUGCAGCACAAUACUAUCAUUGAAAUUUUGACGAUUAUUUGCUCUACCAUUCAAACCACUAUCUUAUUUUAAGGUUGCAUAUUAGACGAACAGACAAGUUAAUGGAUACAAGAUAUUUCAAUCUGAGUGAAUACAUGGAUGUUGUAGAUCAAUGGUUUAAAAAGCACUUGCACAACAAUACGCAAACACGAUACAUCUUUAUUGCUACUGAUAGUCCGAGUGUUUUACAAGAAGCAAUGCGCACGUACCAAAACUAUACUUUUGUUUAUCACAAAAAGGCGACUACUGACAAAUACUCAUUAUCAGCACUGAAAGACAUUAUUUCGGACAUACACACACUAAGAAUGUGCGAUUUUGUAGCAUGCACAAUGUCUUCUAACAUUUGCCGACUCGUAAAUGAACUUAAAGGAUCAAUUGACGGAUGUGCAGCUUAUAGACUUGUCUCCUUAGACAUGGACUAUUUCUUUCACGCUAUUGAGAUGAGAAGGAAAAAGAGGACUCCCCUACAGAACAUAAUAGCUUCACAUCAUGGAUUAAAACCUAUCAAAGAUAAAACAGAUUAUCCGAAAAGAAUUUUACUUACAACUGACAGAAAUAAAUCGCGAGUUGUUAUGCCGAUUUAUCCCGAACUUACAGACACACCAGGACAGUGAUAAAUAAACAUAUUGCUAUUUCUCUCAGUUUUAUUGUAUUUAAAUUGUGUUUUAUAUUAGAAAAACACACACAAUUACACUCGUACAUUUCUUUAAGAUAGGGAACAACAAAUACAACAAAAUUGCGUUAGAUCUCUAUUUAAAAAUGAGAAAAACGUAUUAAAAAGAAUUUCUAAGGAAACAUACAAGGCUAAUAAAUUUGGUAUUGGUUCAAAGAUAUGCAAUGACGACAGAUGAAAUUGUAAAAACUAACAAAAUUCAUUAGGAUACACACAAAUAAGAAAAAAAAAACAUAAUCAUAAAAAUAUAAUCAGAAGUUGUAACCUUUCAUCAGAGUAAAAUGAUUAAGUUUCAUUGGGAGAACUAAAAACUCUAUUGAAGGUAUAUAAUUUUACAUUAUUAGCCUAAUAUAUUUUAUCUUGACAACCAAAAUAUCAAUCUCAAUAAAAUUCAGAGUACAUUAUUUCAAACAUUCCCAUUGACAUUUCAAUCUAUUUUAAUAGUUUUGGAACAAAUUUGAGACAUAUUUAAGAUUCAAUUAUGAAUACACAUGCUGAUGAAAAAAAAAACGGUAGUAGUUUUUAUUCGUUUCCGUCAAACUUAAACCAAGAAAUAAAAAGCAAGUUCCUGUACAAACUUAAUAAAUCAAGUACUGGCACAAGUUAGGAUUCGUAGAAACUAAACAUUUGGACAAAGUGUAAUCACUCAGAAGCAUUUAUCACAAGAACAUUACAUGUUCAUGGGAAUUGCAGGCUCGGAUUGAUUGAGUAUGUGCAUGCGGAGUAAUGAACAAGUAACCUUGAGUGUGAAACACAAUGAAUUUUAAUUCUUUGCAUAUAAGAGCUGUCUGUACUUGAAUUAAAAUAAAUAAUUAUGUAAGAAUAAAACAAUAACAGAAUAAGAAUAAAAUAGAAAUGUAACCAUAGGACACAGAUGUUCUAAUUAACUUUUUGACUCUAGCUCGCAAGGUAAAAAUUGUAAAUUCCGAAUAAAUCUUUACGGAAACCCCAAGGUGCACAACACUUACAUGCUGAUCAACAUUGACGAAAGUUUCUUGUUUCUAGCUUCAGAACUUGUUGAUCUACAAGCCACACUAGUUGAAAUUACAAAUUUUGACUAAGUAAGAGGUCAUACCUUAAGCAAUCCCUAAUAGCUUUACGUGCAUAAUUUCACAUAAUGAUGCUGAUCAAAAUUUCUGUAUAGUUUUUGUACUAUGAUAGUACGAGAAGAAAACGAUAUAAAGUGAUUUAAGAUGUCCGAUAAAAAAGUAAUUUAGAAACUAGUUGUGUUUUUUCUUCUCCGAAACACGAUCGGGAAUGCAUCGAUUGCAAAGGUAAAAGUAAUUAGUUACCCGGUAAUGAUCAAGUUUGAAACAAUUUACCUUAUUCAAUAAUUGAAUAAGUUAUAUUAAUUGUACUUUAAUUAUUAAUUUUAUUUU